CCAUCAAAUAGGACCUUAGGAACCAUAGUCACCACCUCGCCAUGAUCGUUCCUCAUUUUUUGCAUUUUUCGGCCAAAAAACUAGAAUUUCGCGCGAUUCCCAUAUUUUUGUGUGCUAUAGCCCACGCUUUCCGAGUGGUCCCGGGAGCCCCGGAACCCGAUAGCCUAAAAAGUUUCCGGGCCAUCAAGUAUGACCUAAGGAACCAUAGUCACCACCCCGCCAUGAUCGUUCCUUAUUUAUAGAGUUUUUCGGCCAAAAAACUAGAAUUUCGCCCGAUGACCAUAUUUGUUUGUGUUAUUGCCCACGCCUUCUGAGUGGGCCGGGCCCCCAGACUCGGAUCGCCUAAAAGAUUUUCGGGCCAUCAAAUAGGACCUUAGGAACCAUAGUCACCAUCUCGCCAUGGUCGUUCCUCAUGUUUUGCAUUUUUUGGCCAAAAAACUAGCAUUCCGCCUGAUUUCCAUAUUAUUUUGUGCUUUAGCCCACGCCUUCCAAGUGGUCUCGGGACCCCCGGACCCCGAUCGCCUAAAAACUUUUCGGGCCAUCAAAUACGACCUAAGGAACCAUAGUAACCACCCCUCCAUGACCGUUCCUCAUUUUUUGUAUUUUUCAGCCAAACAACUAGAAUUUCGGGCGAUUCCCAUAUUUUCGUGUGCUAGCCUACGCCUUCCGAGUGGACCGGGCCCCUAGACUCGGAACGUCUAAAAUUUUUCCGUGCCAUUAAAUACAACCUAAGGAACCAUAGUCACCGCCCCUCCAUGUCCUUUCCUAAAUUUUUGCAUUUUACGGUCAAAAACCUAGAAUUCUGCACGAUUCCCAUAUUUUCGUGUGCUAUAGCCUAUGCCUUCCAAGUGGACCCAGGACUCCCGGACCCCGAUUGCCUAAAAUUUUUCCUGCCAAUCAAAUACGAUCUAAGGAACCAUAGUCACCGCCCUUCCAUGAUUGUUCCACAUUUUUUGCAUGUUACGGCAAAAAACCUAGAAUUUCGCCCGAUUCUCAUAUUUUCAUGUGUUAUAGCCCACGCCUUCCGAGUGGUCCGGGGAGAGCCGGACCCCGAUCGCCUAAAUUUUUUCCGGUCUAUCAAUUACGACCUAAGG
rnacentral:lncRNA from 1 species